ACGGAGGGAGCUAGCGUUGUUCGGAAUUACUGGGCGUAAAGCGCACGUAGGCGGCUUUGUAAGUUAGAGGUGAAAGCCCGGGGCUCAACCCCGGAACUGCCUUUAAAACUGCAUCGCUUGAAUCCGGGAGAGGUGAGUGGAAUUCCGAGUGUAGAGGUGAAAUUCGUAGAUAUUGGGAAGAACACCAGUGGCGAAGGCGGCUAACUGGUCCAGAUCUGACGCUGAGGUGCGAAAGCGUGGGGAGCAAACAGGA
rnacentral:rRNA from 1 species